GGCAUAAAUUCCACUUUUUGCAAAGUGUUGAGUGCUUACCCAACCAACUUUGAAAUACUGUGUGAUUACAAUAAUGAGUAAGUACAUAGCUAAAGUGGUGUCUUGUGUUUAAACAGUAGCCAGGGUAUAAAGAGCUAGGUUCCUUUUGCAAGUACAUUGCUUUUCAGAUUACAGAUGGAGGAAGAGUAGCAUCUAGUGGUGAAAUGCAUCUGCUGCACCAGGCAUUGGCUGAAACUUUCCAGGAAGUAUCUCUGCCACGUUCUAAAACCUGCAUUUCAGGCAUUUUAAAUAGGUAUCUUCGAUUUCUGAGAGGGGUGUUUAUCAUGUCGAUUACAGAUUUGGAGUCAUUUUGAUGUGCUUGAAUAUUUCCAAAUAAAAAUGCACAGAUGAUCAAGAUAUCCAGGAAUUCAGAAAAAGUUCCUAAACUUUCCAAACAUUUUGCAGGUAUCUAAAGUAUGUUUGGUAUAGACUGAGUCCAGAACAACAAGAUGGUGCCCGGCUAUCGCCACUGACUGCUCUGAUAGAGAUCAUAGUAGAGGGUCCCGGAUGGUGCUGGAGAAAAAUGUAAAAAAAACUCUAACUCAAAAAGAAAGACCAGACGUGCUGGCCUGACAGAGACUGGAGAAUAUGGCCCCCGGGUACUCUUUCAGCUCAGUAAUGAAGUCAUUCCUGAGGUUCACCCUUCAGCCAAAGAUUGAACAGGCCCAUGGAACAAAACAAGACGAAAGGCUCCACUUUCCAGUAGUGAACAUCCACACACACUGCACCCAGGCCAGGCUAAUCACCAUAGCCCACCCCCUUGGCCCUUGGAAUUAUUCCAAAAUUGUCCAGUCAGAGGAGCCUCCCUUUUGCAGUUGUAAGGGGCCAUGCUCUUUCCCAUAAGAAACCCAUGCAGCAGAGAAUGAAGUUAAACAGGAGCCAGGUACUAACUUCAGCCAGUGGUCCCGGUCUGGAUGAUCUGGCGAUGAGACGGCCUGCUCUACACAGGUGAGUCUUACUAGACGUUAGUCAAAAUAAGGCAGUUUUCUACUCACUGAUAACUUGGCUGAGUUAAAAGAAAAAAAAAAAAAUUGAAAGAAUUUCAAUGAAAGCUUUCUUGAAAGUGGGAGACAAACUUUCAUUUAUUUUUAAUGGACAAAAACAUUACUGGGGUUUAAGAACUUGACAUUGCAUUUUUUUUUUCUGCGCUCAACAUUAGCUUGGAGGCAUUCAGGAUGAACCAUUUAUCAGUGCUCAAGUGCUUCAUCUAUUGCACUGAGACAUUUAAACAACCAAUUCUUUAAUAAGCAGGGUUGCUUUUAAGGUGAGGAGGAAUACUCAACAACCCAUCCUGGAAAUUCUUUUUCAAAAUUACACAAGUAGGAACUGCAUCCUGGAAGCUCAGCCACCACAGAUAGUUGCCAGUGUAGCAAACACAUACUAUAUACAAAUCCAAUAACAAAACAUUUAUUUUGGGAGGAGAGGGGGAGUUUUUGUUUGGGUGGCAUUGAGUUCAUGUUAAUGGUGGUAGAAUAUUUUGAGAAAGAAUAGUGAUAAUUGUGGCACAACACGAAAGUGUAAUCAAUGUCAUUGAAUUGUAAAUGUGAAAGUUAUGUUCAUGAAUGUUUUGGUGUGUAUGUUUUCACCACGAUUAAAAAAAAAAACAGAAAAAAGUUCUCAUUUAAUGCAUGGUCAUACCUUCCCUAUAUAAUUAAAGAAGUCCCUUGGUAGCACAAAUGGCCAGACACUCAGCUACUAAUCAAAAGGUUCGAAUCCACCCAGAAAUGUCUUGCAAGAAAGGCCUGACAAUCUGCUCCCAGAAGGUCACAGCAUUAGAAACCCUACGGAGCGCAGUUCUACUCUGAAACAUAUGAUAUGGGGUUGCCAUCAGUGGUAAUCAA